rnacentral:rRNA from 1 species
CACGUAGGCACCAAGCGUUGUCCGGAUUUAUUGGGCGUAAAGAGCUCGUAGGCGGUUGAGUAAGUCGGGUGUGAAAACUCUGGGCUUAACCCAGAGCCGCCACUCGAUACUGCUCUGACUUGAGUACGGUAGGGGAGCAGGGAAUUCCUAGUGUAGCGGUGAAAUGCGCAGAUAUUAGGAGGAACACCGGUGGCGAAGGCGCUGCUCUGGGCCGAAACUGACGCUGAGGAGCGAAAGCGUGGGUAGCAAACAGG